UAUUAAAUGUCAGAAUAUAAAUGAAUCAAUCAAAACAUGUGAGCACUGUAUUUUUAAUUUCUAAUAGCAAAAAAAGUAUUUAAUCAAGAUAUUGUUUGCUGCGAUAACGUGAUAAAUUGCUGUUAAUCACAAGAAUUUUUAUAAUAUUAUAUAGAAGAUUUGUAAUUUAUGUUCUUUUAAAUUAAAUCAAACCAUCAAAGACUGUUGAAAGCUGCUAGAGAGUGAGUCUGUGUGUGUGUGCCGUGCUUAUGAUGCUAUUAUUUAUGCACACGUAUUUUCAAAAGCGACAAUUGCGAACAUCGCCGUAUAUUACUCGAGAAUGAGAAGAAAUACAAUUCAGAAAAAAAGGAACAUUUUUUGGAUCGAAGAGAUUUCAAAAUCAUCGGUAGCUCUUCGAAAGUUCGAACGUGCAAAAACGACUUUGCAUAGCAAAUCUGUCUCUGGUCUCCAGCAAGCAAAUAUCAAUACAAGCCAGUCAAACAAAACGCGUUUGUCGAAACAAACGUUCUCAAAUUUUUAAAAGAGAUACGGCUCUCCUAAAGUGUAACGAAGGCACGUUCCGCGUGCGCAAGAUAUUCGGAGAUGGCAAUUGCAUGUUCAGAGCGAUCAGCUACAUUUUGUGGCGAAAUGAAGACGAACACCAAUCACUCCGAGCUAUGGUUGUGCAGCACAUUAAGGACAAUUGGCGCGAAUAUGGUCCGUUUGUGAUGGCCGAGUGGAACAUUUCGGAUUGCCAAGAGUAUUACGAUUACAUGAGUUUAGUGGGCACGUUUGCCAGCGAGCUGGAGUGUACGGUGGCUACUAAGCUUUAUCACAUGAAUCUCUCAAUCUAUCGAGAACUCACUGGCAGAUACGAACUCGAACUGGUCUUUCACAAUCGUCUGAACGUCUCGUACGACACCGCGAGACUCCUGUUUAUCGGAUGCUCCGAAAACGGUCACUACGAUGUGCUGUUACCGUGUAGUUCAAUGUCAAAUCUUUAUAUAAAUUAGCAAGUAAAUUAAAUAACAAUUAGAAUAAUUCUAAUGAAUUCUGAUUCUCACGAUCAAAUGUAAACAAUAUGUAUGUAAUAUUUGUUAAAAAACUUAACCUCAUAUUGAUCUUUAAUAUUUUUUAAAAUACAUUUGAUGUACUUUAUAAAUACGUUUUGUUGUGGAGCACUUAUGAGAGAAAAAAAAUAUAUGCAAAUAAGAAAAACACUUA